rnacentral:tRNA from 1 species
GCCCGAGUGGUGAAAUUGGUAGACACAAGAGACUUAAAAUCUCUCGACUUUCGGGUCGUGCCGGUUCGAUUCCGGCCUCGGGCACCA